rnacentral:tRNA from 1 species
GGAGCGGUCGCCUAGUUGGCCGAGGGCGCGGCACUGGAAAUGCCGUAAGGGGGCAACCCCUUCGAGGGUUCGAAUCCCUCCCGCUCCGCCA